rnacentral:rRNA from 1 species
UACGAACUGUGCAAACGUUAUUCGGAAUCACUGGGCUUAAAGGGUGCGUAGGCGGAUUUGAAGGUCCGAUGUGAAAGCCCACGGCUCAACCGUGGAAUUGCGUCGGAAACCACAAAUCUUGAGGGAGUCAGAGGUAAGCGGAACUGAUGGUGGAGCGGUGAAAUGCGUAUGAUACUCGA